rnacentral:lncRNA from 1 species
UAACAUUUUAAAAUUGUUAGCAAAGGAACAUCCGGUUAAUAGCAAAGGAGAAACAACUAUAAUUGUUAGCAAGGGAGGAACCAUUUAAUGGCAGUGGAAAAGUAACUAUAGCUGGUUGAACCAUGGCAGCAAACCAUGUAUUCAUACUCGUAACAGUAUCUGAAUUAAUAUAGGUCUCUUUUAGCUUAUUGUUUCCAUAGUGCCGCUACCAGAUAACAUAACAUAAAAACUAGAUCAUUUCUCCAAAAAUCCGUUUCAUAUAUAUUUUCCUUUCUUGAAAGGCCUUUUAACCACACACGUUUGGUUCACAUCAUCCGACGAUUUUCUCUUCCGAGUAGCUUCGCCAUCCGCAGUGGAUGCGGUAGCCACCUCCUCUGAUUACUAGUUGAUAUUGAAAAUAUUUGGAAAUACUAUAGUAUUACAAAGUGUUACAUGCUCAACCAACGGUGGUUCUCCAUCCCUUGUUGAUGCACUCUUUUCCUUCGCUUCCUUCACAUUGCAUCUUUUCCUUUGCCUCCUUCACAAAAGGUUCCACCUCUCUAAGUCUUUUAUCCAUGCCAUCAACCUUGUCAAUGACAACCUUAAUCUCCUUGUCGACGGAAUUAUUCAACCCUUCUACAAUCAAAAUUUGAAGAGAAAUAUAAUCUUCCUCCUCGACUUUAUUCAUCACCCCUUUUCGGGCUGGCUCUUUUAGAAAAUCAACGUUAAACCCCUCUUUCGUAGCAGCCACAUCUUGAUUGUACAAAUCUUCAAACCAUAUUGACUUAUGAUUCGUGACGAGACGCUCUGUCCAACCGUCAACAAUAACAUCACUGACUUCAUGGUCGUUUUCUUUUUCGAAGAUUCACUCAAGCAUAAAUUCUUCAAACAAUUCAAUAACAUAACUUGUUAUGCAUCCAAAAAUCAAUUUAGAUUUAAACUAAUGAUAACCUUUGUCAUUAAUUUAAAAACCCAACUGCUCUCUGUGCGUAAUGAUAACUGCAUAGAAUAGAAUAGAUGAAUCAAUGGAGUUCCAAUCACAAAUCUAUCUAUGAUUUUCUCUCCUAAAACUCUCU